UUCGCCCGGCUUCUCCAGGCCCUAGAGACCGUGUCGGAGCUGGGAAGGGAGCGGGAGGUGAAGAGCGAGCACUGGGCACGCGGGGGAGACUGAGGUGGGAGAGCAACGUUGUCCUCUCGGUGGGGCGAGGGCGGUACACCCGCUUUCCCUUUGUGGACCGACACCCCCACAGGCCCCUCCAUUCCACCCCUGCCUUCCAGGGUCCCUCGGCGCUCUGCCCACUGCCCUUUCCAAGCUAUGCCUGUGUUAUCUCCAAGUUCCUUUAAGGAUGCCGGGUACGCGAUGCAGCUAUCGCGUCACACCGACACGGCGCUCCCCAGUUGGCACCCGCCAGUGGCCUCGGAAGCUCAGAGAAGGAGGAGCUGUUGUAGAAAUAGGAGAAGUAGCUCGCCAAGCUUGGGGUCAGAAAGGGAACUCACAUUUACAGUUCCCGCUACUCGCCAAGCGCUGUUAGACAUUUCAUAGGCAUAGUUUUAUUUAAUCCGCAGAACAAUCCCGAGUUGGAAUUAUUAUCCUCGGACGUGAGCGCAGGGGAGUGAAGUGCUUCCCUGAGGCUCCUUAGCCAGGUAGUGGCUGAGUCGGGUUCAAACCCAGCCCUGUACAGUUCUCAAUCCCAUGCUUUCUCUCUGGCCCCUCGGGGACCCAGGAAAGCAGAACAUGACAGUUUAACAUGCUCGAGUCACCUGAUCUUUCUGAGCCUCGGUUCCCUCGCUUGUAUAAUGAGAAAAUAUUGCCGCCUAAGCAUUGUGACGGUUCAUUGAGCAAAUAUGCAAAAACACUUUUCAAACUGUAAAAUACUUUCCAGAUAUUCUGACCUAGGCGAUGGACGUUGGGCAAUAACAAAAGGCAUAAGACACAGCCUGUCCUCGUGAGUCGGCUUUGGGGGAGACAGAGAGCAGACAAUAGGUACAAAAGUCCAGGAUGGGCAAUGAACCCAGCCAGGACACACCGCGGACAAAGACCUCACCCGGGCAUGGUGUUUGGAUUAUGCCUUGAAGUUGGUCUUGUGGGUGAGCCCCAGGACAGAACAAAAGCAUGGGGAGAGCUGGUGGCCGGCAGGCAGGUAGGCUUUAGACAGAGGCUGGAAGGUAGGCAAGUGAAAUGUCCCGCCCGGGAAUGUGGACACUGUCCUAGAGGCUGGGGGAGCCCUCGGUGGCUGUGACAGUGGGACAGGUGAAGGGUGAUAACCGGCUUAUUCAGGUAACAGGAUAAGGAAAGAAGAGAGGGAACAGUUCUGUGAAAUUAAAAGGAAAAAUAUAUUCCAAAGUCUGUGAUCUUAACCACAUAAUUAGCCUACCAACCCACCUCCUUCAAAAGAUGCAGGUGAUCUGAAACUUUUUUUUUUUUUUUUUAAUCCUGUCAGUGGGGGGAGAUGUGCUCUCAGAAGACAUCCUGCCUGCUCCUCUUGGCUACCUGAGGAGGCCCUGGUGCUGUCCUGCUGCUCAGUGCUACUGGAGCUGGAACCUCACAGCUCUCCCGCUUCACCAUUUUCUCUCUUUUUCACUUUUCCAAGUUCUCUGCCCUGCCUGGUCAGCAGCAUGUGCACCCCGAGAAAGGAAGGGAAAUUACAUAACGGGUAUGUUCUCAUCCUAUAAUUUAGAAAAUCCCAUGUUUUCGAGACGUAGAUUCUGAAAUGUACAUCAUGUCUUGAGUUUGCUUGUAUUGUAAUUCUCCAUGGCUUAUUUCUCUACCUACGGAGUUAAUACCCUUCAAAGCAGAAAUGAAGAUUUGAAAUAGAAGAUGCCAAUGACCACUUCUUUUUGCUGACUCUGGCUUUCCUGCCAACUUUAAUGCUCAUCUUUACAUACAAAACAAGGAAUGCUUUCAAAUAUAAUCAAGGAACUACUAAUGUAAGUUGGAAAUUUAUCAAGUAAUGAAAAAUAAAAUAAUCAUCAAAGCAUGGAAAGAGAUUAAGAAAAUAAAAAUCCACUGGUUCUUAACAUUGCAAAGGAAUGAAACACAGCAUUUGAAAGAUAUGAUUGUUUUUAUCCCUAAAAAGGUAAAUGAAAUAGAAUGGAAUGGGCUGCCUGCAACAGUGCAAUUGCAAGUUCUCUGUCUUUGGAAGCAUAUUGCCAAGGGUGGGUGGCCGUCUUUCAAGGGUGCUAUCGAGAAGAUUCUUAUCUGGACAAGGGGUUCUCUUUCAUCUGUACAGCACUGUUCUUGCUGUCUUCCUUAGAGCAAGUGCAGACCCACAAGGCGGUACAGACCCACAAGGCAGUACAGAAACCUCACACACACAAACCCGCACACAGUGGGUUGUUAAUGUGUCUUUUCCUGUUGGAUAACUACUGUAACUCAGCAGCAGAACAAGUCUGCAUCAAGAAAGAAGACAGCUAGGAACGUGCAGAAUGGAGAGCUGCAAGAAGCUUCCAUUGUUCCUAAAGUUAUCCUCUGGUCUUUAUUCUUCAAAGUGUAAUAUCUUUGUCAUUCUCUGGCAUUUUGAGCAUUCAAUACACCUAGAAGAAGCUUAGCAAUCAUUAAAAAGUCUCCUUUCUCUUUCUUUCCUUGUUCCUACUCUUAGAAGUUUCUAUAAAUGUGCCAAGUCCAAGGGAGUUUGCUUAGGCCCUUCUCUCAGAGAUGAUGCCCUUCCAUCUUUUCACUAUGCAAGAUUCUGGAGUCUGACCCAACAUUCUAUCAAGUAGAUCAUUCUGGAUUUUGUUUUUGCUUUAUUCACUGAAAAUUAUAGAGACCAAAAGCUUUCCUUUAUACUACUUCUACAUAUACUUCCAGUGGGGAGAAGAUGGAUCAGAAGUACAUCUAUCUUCUCAAAUAGAAACUCAUUUUAAUCUCAACCAACAAAGUGUAGAGAAGUCAAAAGCUUCCACAGUUAAUACUACACAAAUGCUUGCAACUUUUCAAAGUGAAUUAAGCCAGAUUCAUACACUUUAAAGAGUUUGUACA